UCCCGUCUAGUAUAGUGGUGAGUAUAUCCGCCUGUCACGCGGGAGGACCGGGGUUCGAAUCCCCGGACGGGAGCCA
rnacentral:tRNA from 1 species